rnacentral:rRNA from 2 species
CGGCGGACGGGUGAGUAAUGCCUAGGAAUCUGCCUGGUAGUGGGGGACAACGUUUCGAAAGGAACGCUAAUACCGCAUACGUCCUACGGGAGAAAGCGGGGGAUCUUCGGGCCUUGCGCUAUCAGAUGAGCCUAGGUCGGAUUAGCUAGUUGGUGAGGUAAUGGCUCACCAAGGCGACGAUCCGUAACUGGUCUGAGAGGAUGAUCAGUCACACUGGAACUGAGACACGGUCCAGACUCCUACGGGAGGCAGCAGUGGGGAAUAUUGGACAAUGGGCGAAAGCCUGAUCCAGCCAUGCCGCGUGUGUGAAGAAGGUCUUCGGAUUGUAAAGCACUUUAAGUUGGGAGGAAGGGCAGUAAGCUAAUACCUUGCUGUUUUGACGUUACCGACAGAAUAAGCACCGGCUGACUUCGUGCCAGCAGCCGCGGUAAUACGAAGGGUGCAAGCGUUAAUCGGAAUUGCUGGGCGUAAAGCGCGCGUAGGUGGUUCGUUAAGUUGGAUGUGAAAGCCCCGGGCUCAACCUGGGAACUGCAUCCAAAACUGGCGAGCUAGAGUAUGGCAGAGGGUGGUGGAAU